rnacentral:rRNA from 1 species
UAGGGAAUCUUCGGCAAUGGACGAAAGUCUGACCGAGCAACGCCGCGUGAGUGAAGAAGGUUUUCGGAUCGUAAAACUCUGUUGUUAGAGAAGAACAAGGACGUUAGUAACUGAACGUCCCCUGACGGUAUCUAACCAGAAAGCCACGGCUAACUACGUGCCAGCAGCCGCGGUAAUACGUAGGUGGCAAGCGUUGUCCGGAUUUAUUGGGCGUAAAGCGAGCGCAGGCGGUUUCUUAAGUCUGAUGUGAAAGCCCCCGGCUCAACCGGGGAGGGUCAUUGGAAACUGGGAGACUUGAGUGCAGAAGAGGAGAGUGGAAUUCCAUGUGCAGCGGUGAAAUGCGUAGAUAUAUGGAGGAAAACCAGUGGCGAAGGCGGCUCUCUGGUCUGUAACUGACGCUGAGGCUCGAAAGCGUGGGGAGCAAACAGG